CAAAAAAUCGUCUAGCCUAUCCAACGUUUCAUGGAAGGCGAGUAAUAGUCUUGGCUGUUGGUUCAAUCCAACUCCACACUGUAUCAAGCACAUUUCUCGACACAAAACACUCUGCGGAUGCAAGGUCUUACUCGAGAACACUAAUCUUGUUUUCAAGUUCCACUAUUUCAUUUGCUUGCUGUUCAAUUAUCGGAGGAUCACUAGACUAUUAUCAUAUUCACGUCUUGAUCAACUGCAGCUGCGAAUGAAGUAGAACAGCCUCUGCUUUCUGAUUUAGACAUUACAGCUAUGGAAUAGCUAGUGCGUGUGUGUUGUGUUACUCUAGACAUAACUGUUGUUGGGACUGGUAGGCUGGCAGCUAAAAAGUGCUAGUAAAAAACAGACUGUAGUGUACGUGUACUGUACUCUGAUCUGCCUCAGUACCUAUUGAGUGCAAUUUAUCACAGUAACAUUU